rnacentral:rRNA from 1 species
UGAGGAAUAUUGGUCAAUGGGCGAGAGCCUGAACCAGCCAAGUCGCGUGAAGGAAGACUGCCUUAUGGGUUGUAAACUUCUUUUAUACAGGAAUAAAAAGGCUUACGUGUAGGCCAUUGCAAGUACUGUAUGAAUAAGCAUCGGCUAACUCCGUGCCAGCAGCCGCGGUAAUACGGAGGAUGCGAGCGUUAUCCGGAUUUAUUGGGUUUAAAGGGUGCGCAGGCGGGCUUUUAAGUCAGCGGUGAAAUCUGGACGCUUAACGUCCAAACUGCCGUUGAAACUGGGAGUCUUGAGUAUGGAUGAAGUAGGCGGAAUUCGUUGUGUAGCGGUGACAUGCAUAGAUAUAACGAGGAACUCCGAUUGCGUAGGCAGCUUACUAAGCCAUAACUGACGCUCAUGCACGAAAGCGUGGGGAUCAAACAGGAUUAGAUACCCUGGUAGUCCACGCCGUAAACGAUGAUUACUAGUUGUAUGCGAUAUGAUAGUAUGUGACUAAGCGAAAGCGAUAAGUAAUCCACCUGGGGAGUACGCCGCAACGGUGAAACUUAAAUGAAUUGAC